rnacentral:rRNA from 1 species
CUUUCCUUCGGGAAAGAUAUAAAGUGGCGCACGGGUGAGUAACACGUAAGUAAUCUACCUUCGAGUGGGGAAUAACCCGGGGAAACCCGAGCUAAUACCGCAUAACGCAGCGGCACCUAAUGGUGACAGUUGUUAAAGGAGUAAUUCGCUUGAAGAGGAGCUUGCGGCAGAUUAGCUAGUUGGUAAGGUAAUGGCUUACCAAGGCUUCGAUCUGUAUCCGGUCUAAGAGGACGGUCGGACACACUGACACUGAAUAACGGGUCAGACUCCUACGGGAGGCAGCAGUCGGGAAUUUUGGGCAAUGGGCGAAAGCCUGACCCAGCAACGCCGCGUGAAGGAUGAAGUAUUUCGGUAUGUAAACUUCGAAAGAAUGGGAAGAACUCAAUGACGGUACCAUUUAUAAGCUCCGGCUAACUACGUGCCAGCAGCCGCGGUAAUACGUAGGGAGCAAGCGUUGUUCGGAUUUACUGGGCGUAAAGGGCGCGUAGGCGGCAUAUUAAGUCAUCUGUGAAAUCUCCGAGCUUAACUCGGAACUGUCAGGUGAUACUGAUGUGCUAGAGUGCGGAAGGGGCAAUCGGAAUUCUUGGUGUAGCGGUGAAAUGCGUAGAUAUCAAGAGGAACACCUGAGGUGAAGACGGGUUGCUGGGCCGACACUGGCGCUGACAGCGCGAAAGCCAGGGGAGCAAACGGGAUUAGAUACCCCGGUAGUCCUGGCCUUAAACGAUGAAUACUUGGUGUCUGGAGUCUCUAUAGCUCCGGGUGCCGUCGCUAACGUUUUUAGUAUUCCGCCUGGGGAGUA